GCUUAAGAUGGUAGCAUCAGGGUCGAUGGCAAAAGGCUUGUUCUGGCCACCGGGAUACCUCACAAAGACCUGGAUCUCAGGAGGAAAGGUCUCCAUCACCCGGAUGUUCACCUUAGAGAAAAUUCCAUAAUCCGACAGGGUUUUCCGGCCACUCAGCGGCUGCCUCUCCCCUCCCGGCUCCUGGAAGGAGAUACGCAGCUCCCCACAGAGGUUCAUUCUCUUCUUGAUCUUUGCCUUCAACUUCCUGAUGGGGCUGUGGGGGUUUGUCAAGAGAAUCCACUCUUCCCUUCCUGUUUGUUUCACUGUCACCUGAACGUCCCUCGCUCCCUGCAAGAGAGAGAGGAGAAAGGGCAAGUGUGUGACACUAGAAGGCGGCAUCAGACAUUAUGAGCGCCACGUGGUUGCUGGGAAUUGAACUCAGGACCUCUGCAAGAGCAGUCAGUGCUCUUAACCGCUGAGCCAUCUCUCCAGCCUGAGCUUCUUCCCCCCCCCCCCCCCCCCGGAGCUGGGGACCGAACCCAGGGCCUUGCGUUUGCUAGGCAAGCGCUCUACCACUGAGCUAAAUCCCCAACCCCCAGCCCGAGUUUCUUACUUCUAGCUCCUGACAUAAUUUAUCCCCUACCAAGACAACCUGGGAGAUGCUCUGGAUAAUUGCCUGAGGCUGUUUGGCUACUCUAGACUUAGAGUAACCACUAACUCAGGCCGCUGUGUUCCUCAACUCACCCAAACUACAGCCACAACUGGAUUCUUUCAUGGGUACACAACAGUGCUGUCCUCAUGGAAGCCUGGGGAUUCCAGUGACAUAAUUUAAUGUUUGUGUCUGGCUUUAGGAUGGUUGUUCAAGGACGAUCACUGUUACACUUCAAAAAUCUGGACAUGUCCUAAAAAUCCUGCCUCGGGGUACUGGUUAAAAUAUGUCACAGAAUUCUGACCUAUUUGCUGAGCAUUUGGACACACGGUCCUCGGUAGAACUGUUUGAAGAGGAUUAGAAAGUAUGGCCUUGCAGGAGGAUACCAGUAUAUCAGCCGAGUCAGGUUUUGGGAUUUCAAAAGCCCACAACAUUCCAAGGUCACUUUAGAUGUGAGCACCAGCCACCAUACCUGCUACCACAUUUCCCUGCCACGAUGAAAAGACUCAUCUCUGUGGAACUGUAAGCACCAAGGAACCCUCCCUUCUGUAAGUCAUAGCAUAGCCGCAGCCCUGUGGAGGUUCUGUCUUUUAUUGUCUAUUGUAAUGCAAACCGUGAGCCCCCAAGACCUGGAGUCUGCACGUGGCCGCUGUGACCCUGCCUCCCGAGUUAACUCUGAUUGGUGAAUAAAGAUGCCGACAGCCAAUAGCUGGGCAGAAGAGA